rnacentral:rRNA from 1 species
UACGAAGGGGGCUAGCGUUGCUCGGAAUCACUGGGCGUAAAGGGCGCGUAGGUGGGCUCAUAAGUCAGGGGUGAAAGCCCAAGGCUCAACCUUGGAAUUGCCUUUGAUACUGAGGGCCUUGAGACCGGAAGAGGUCGGCGGAACUGCGAGUGUAGAGGUGAAAUUCGUAGAUAUUCGCAAGAACACCAGUGGCGAAGGCGGCCGACUGGUCCGGUUCUGACGCUGAGGCGCGAAAGCGUGGGGAGCAAACAGG